GCGUCGUAGUCCGGAUUGGAGUCUGCAACUCGACUCCAUGAAGUCGGAAUCGCUAGUAAUCGUGGAUCAGAAUGCCACGGUGAAUACGUUCCCGGGCCUUGUACACACCGCCCGUCACACCAUGGGAGUGGGCUGCAAAAGAAGUAGGUAGUUUAACCUUCGGGGGGACGCUUACCACUUUGUGGUUCAUGACUGGGGUGAAGUCGUAACAAGGUAGCGCUAGGGGAACCUGGCGCUGGAU
rnacentral:rRNA from 1 species